AUCGAACGCUGGCGGCAGGCCUAAUACAUGCAAGUCGAACGAGUGGCGGACUGGUGAGUAAUGUCUGGGAACCUGCCUGACGGAGGGGGAUAACUACUGGAAACGUUAGCUACUACUGCUUACCACCAUAUGGGCCCAUAUGGGAUUAGCUUCUGGGUGGGGUAACGGCUCACCAAGGCGACGAUCCCUAGCUGGUCUGAGAGGAUGACCAGCCACACUGGGACUGAGACACGGUCCAGACUCCUACGGGAGGCAGCAGUGGGGAAUAUUGCACAAUGGGCGCAAGCCUGAUGCAGCAAUGCCGCGUGUAUGAAGAAGGCCUUCGGGUUGUAAAGUACUUUCAGCGGGGAGGCGUUACCCACAGAAAAAGCACCGGCUAACUCCGUGCCAGCAGCCGCGGUAAUUC
rnacentral:rRNA from 1 species